UUCGUGACAACCGAACAACGUCAAUGGCUGUAUCAUGCCAAGGAAAUCACGUGGCUAAAUAUGGGGCCACGCCAAAACUCAUAUCUAAUCGCUAAUACAAGCGCUGACAGUUCAAUUUGGAUAUACAUUGUGGAGUACAAGUUGUUUCCUUUAUAACCCUAAAAUCAUGCCUAGCACAGGUAUCAAAAUGGACCCAA